rnacentral:lncRNA from 1 species
UGACCAAUGGGAUAUACAAAAGUGUUGUCCACCGAGCAACAGUUAACUCAGAAAAAAAGCGCAUUUCAAUUGUCAGCCUUCAUAGUCUAACUUUAGGUAAAAAAGUUAGACCUGCAUCAGCUCUUGUUAACGAACAAAAUAUCUUGUCCUACAAAGAAGGAGGCUUCAGUGAUUUCCUUGACUUCAUUUCGGGAGAAGAUAUUGUGGAAGCAAAGUACAUAGACACAUUAAAAAUAAAUACAUGAUGAUUAUAGUACAUGGACAACAGAGCAGGCAAUACUGGAAUUCUCAUUUUUACACUCUUCAAACUCCAUUUUGUAUGAUCCGUGUUUUACAGUAGCCAGAUUUUCUAUGUACUUUGUUCGAAUUUUGCUGGUGAGAUUUUUUUAUUUUUGCUUUUUAUUUUAUUUUGUUGAGAAAAAAAUAAGAGCUCUUCCUUCAUACUAGGAGGCCUUGCUGUAAAAAAAAAAAAUUGAACAAACUUACCAGCCAUUUCAUCUUAACCAAGGUUUCCCUCAAGGCCACUUAUUUUGUUGCACCACCAACAAAAUAAAAAUGCAUCUUCAGGAUCCGAUGAUUUAUCUCACUUAGCUAACAUCACAACUUGGCAGAUAGAAGCCAGCAACUGGAAAGAAGUUCUAACAUUCACCACAUCAAGUCCAAUUUAAGCCAAAUGUUGGUCAUACUACAAGUUUAGAACUCGAGCCACAUUCAUCACUGGUAGACGCACCUAUUGGGAAGAUGUUCUCUCACACAAGGUAAAUUUUUAAUGGUAAAUAGACACAAGAAUUAGUUAUGACCUUAAACUAAUUAGACCAGCAAAGAACAUUAUAUUGAUUUACAGCCACAACCAUAUACAGCCAAAAUCACCUUCCAACAAUACAUUCUGCACAUAUAACACAGGAAUAGCCAGUAUAACAACUGCUCUGACAUUAAUAUUAGUAUCAUUAUUUUGUGUGUGUUCUUUUAGGUUUUCUGUGUCAGAAGUUUCCUUUGUAAGCUAACAGGGAAGCAUGGCUUCAAAACUCAAGUUCCAUGACCCUGGUAAUGCUCACGUUUGAUCUCGCUAAUGUUCAGACACCCAAACUGUUUUACCUCCAAUACUAUUUACUCAUUUCAAACCUUCUCCAAACAAUCUUGUUAUUAUCGCUAGGGAUGGCAAUAGGGCAGGGCAUAUUCGGGGUGGGGCAGGGAGUGUUGUGCGGGACAGGGCAGGGCGGGACAAAAUAUAUUUUCGAAAAAUUAUAAUGAAGGCAGGGAAAGUGGUAGGGCAAGGGGUUUCAGAUGCAAAUUGAAAAUUUCUCAACCUUAUUUCAGUGUCGACAAUGGGAUUGUUGUUGUCAACGUACUAAUGAAAUAUCAAUUGUUGGGUGCUGGCAACGUUUAAAAUAAGAUUUCAUACUAAAGGAAUAUCAAUAACUUCUUUUUUAUUUAAAUAAGAUCAAUAUGGGACAACUGUUUUACUAUUACUUGAAAUCAAAUUAUUUCAAUUACAAAAAUAUUGAAAUAAAAAUAUUGUAAAUUUUCCCUGCUACUAAUUCCAAAAGUAAGCACUCGCAAAAGCCAAAACAACAUAGAAACUAAGUUUGUGUUGUAUCAUUUUAUACUCCCUCCGUUCACUUUUACUUGUCCACUAUUCCUAAGAAUAAAUUUUACUUUUAACAUAUCAAGAAAAGAUAAUUAUUUUUUUCUAUGUUUUACCCUUAGCAUUAAUUACUUAUUUGCCGAAUCAUUUUUCAAGACCUAAUACUAAACAUCAAUUAAUAAGGGUAUUAUAGUAAGAUACUCAUAUAAAUAAUUGUUUCUUAAGGGGUUUGGCGUGUAAAUCCAAAGUGGAGAAGUAAAAGUGAACGGGAGGAGUAUUUGGAAGACCAAAAAGACAAAAAGUAUAUCUCUCUCGCUCAUACUUAAUACAGUAGUGACGCAUUAGUUCGGGUAAUGGAGACAGCAGCAUAGGAGGGGUUUUCAGGAACUCUGAUGGUCAUUGGAUACUAGGCUAUUGUAUGCAUAUUCCCAAUACUACAAUCACUGAAGCUGAACUAAAGGGUCCAGACUAUGCUUAUAUGCAUAUGAAUCUACAUCCACUUCAAGUGGAAAUUGACGCACAAGAGGUGAUCACCUUGCUCUCAUCAUCCAAGGCAAAAUAUGCUAAUAUUUUGUCUGACUGCAGGUCCGUACUCCGACAGUUACAUGAUCCAGUCGUCACUCACAUAUACAGGGAGCAGCACAAGGCAGCAGAUAGUGUAGCUAAAUAUGGAGCAAACAAAACAUUGACUGCUAUGACACUUUUUGAUAGCCCACCUCUUUUUGCUGAAUCAAUGGUUGAAGCAGAUAGACUAGGCAUCACCUUUUGUCGACGUACAACUUUUUGUAACUUACCAACUGAUAGUUUAACUAGUGAGGCAUGUAGUUCAUCUAACCCUACAAUGCCCUGUCCUGUCCUGCCCCGAGCCUCCCUAUUGAUAUUCCUAGUUAUCGCAAACCAAGGAAGGCAAAUGCAUCUCAAUUUCUAUAAUUAAGUUGGUUAUUUUACAUAGAAUUGAUUUCUUAUUGCACUAAAUGGCUGCAAAGUGCAAUCUGUCACCUCUGUUAAUCAGAUAACUUGGGAGACUUACUAUGUUAAUUAUCUCCAUGCAUCAUCAGAAUCAGAAUUAGUAGUAGCAUUCAUUUAAAGACUAUUAAACAAAAUUAUCCCAACUUAUUUCUAAUUCCUUCAGCAAUUGAAGCCAUAUUUUUAGAAAUUCAGCUUAUGGCGCAAUGCUAAGUAUUUAACGACUAUUACACAAAAUCAUCCCAACUUAUUCAGUAACUAUUACAUAAUUUAGUUACUAAACCAAAAUCAGCGACUUGAAGUUACUCGAUUCCUCUCAUGAUGGUCAAAACUUGCGCAAAAUAUAUGAAUAUCAUCAAAUAAAUUGUAGUUUUACAUGAUUCUCACUAUAUCUAAUAAAGACUUUAUUUGCACACAAAAAUUGGAGGAAAAAAUCAACAUAUUCGAGGCAAAAACACUUACGAAGGAAAGUGAAAAAUUGAUUCAGAAAAUUAAACUCUGCAUUUUCUUUUACGUCUCUGAUCUUCUCUGCCCCUACUGCUUUGCUUCUUCUCCAUUGAAGUUUCUGGUUUUCAAUUUUCAUUGGAAGGGGGCUUGGCUUUCAAACGGAUUAAUUUCCUGCUCCGCCGGUUUUACC